AACCUGCCUUUGAGAAGGGGAUAACUGUCCGAAAGGAUAGCUAAUACCCUAUAUUGCCUUUUGUCACUAAGACAAAAAGUGAAAGCGAGGCUGUCAAAGGCUUCGGCUCAAAGAGGGGUUCGCGUCCUAUCAGGUAGUUGGUGGGGUAAUGGCCUACCAAGCCAAUGACGGGUAGCUGGUCUUAGAGGAUGAUCAGCCACAGUGGGACUGAGACACGGCCCGCACCCCUACGGGGGGCAGCAGUGGGGAAUCGUGGGCAAUGGGCGCAAGCCUGACCCCGCAAUGCCGCGUGAGGGAAGAAGCCCUUCGGGGUGUAAACCUCUGUCAGAUGGGAAGAUGGGACUAGGGGCUAAUACCUCCUAGUCUUGACGGUACCAUCAGAGGAAGGGACGGCUA
rnacentral:rRNA from 1 species